GAUAUGGGAGCUCUGACCUAAAGGCCUUCUUCAAACCAGCGAGAGAAACUAUUAGAAGCCAACCGUGAUCUUAGAGCACACCUGUCCAGAAUCCUAAGAGCACCCUUAGAAGAGCUGAAACAGAAGCUGCAUGCACCAUGUAGAGCGCUCGAAGCACACAGGCAGCACUACAAUGAAGAAGAAACAGAUUCCCGGUGAAUGGAGGGCAUGGAGUGUGUUCAUGGUGUCUUCAGAGAGUAGGGAGCAUUGAGAAAGAUGGAAGAAGGAGCUCUUCAAAGCCUGAAGAUCCUAUCAGUCAUGCUUGAACCGGGCUUCCAUGUAAUGACACGUGGCCGGAAGAGGGCGUCAGAUCCCCUAAAACUGGAGUUACAAGCUGAAUAGAGUGGGGCCCAGAAAAAUGAGGGAACAACUGACGAACAGCUGUCUUGGUGAGGCCUCACAGAAAAUGGAAAAAGAAGGAGAGUAUCCCACACACUUGGUAAGGAGCAAACGACAUUGAUACUAGCGCUAGUGGUUAAUUUUUGGAGGCCAUGUUUGCAGGAAGUGUGUUUAGAAGGGUACGGUAUAUCUAGGUUGAUCAGGUGUUGGCCUAUUUCGCUGAGGAGGUGACAGCAAUUUGGGACAGGAGAAUUUCAACCAGGCAUUUGCCGCAGCCUAAAAGCUGCUUCAGGCGAGAAGAGCAGGGUUAGAAGGAAUUGGAAAACUAGA